CUGCACCUCUUGAAGCUUGAAGAUCACCAUCUCUCUCUUUCUCGUUUUGUGUAAGACUCUUUAUAUGGAACUUUGCCUCUUGUAUUCUACAUUCAAAGAAGUAAUCUCUAAACCCUUUCUAAGUUU
rnacentral:sRNA from 1 species